rnacentral:rRNA from 1 species
CGAGCGUUGUUCGGAAUUAUUGGGCGUAAAGGGUGCGUAGGCGGUUUGGUAAGUCUGAUGUGAAAUCUAUGGGCUCAACUCAUAGUCUGCAUCGGAAACUGCCGGGCUUGAGUGUGGGAGAGGUGAGUGGAAUUCCUGGUGUAGCGGUGAAAUGCGUAGAUAUCAGGAGGAACACCUGUGGCGAAAGCGGCUCACUGGACCAUAACUGACGCUGAUGCACGAAAGCUAGGGGAGCAAACAGG